rnacentral:lncRNA from 1 species
ACUCGGUUCAUUUCUGCAGCAAGUGCAAAAAAGGCCCAGUAACCCUCUGCCUACAGAGUUCUGGUCAUGCAACCCAAAAUGCCUCCAUGAAUAUCUUCAGUUUACCAUUCACAGCUGCUCCUGGACCAAUCCCCUUGAAAGCUAGAGCCUCAAUGGGCAAAAGGCUCUAAUGCCAGGGCUAAGCCCACUGAUGACAAUAAGAGACUAUCCUAAAAAGAAAAGUUCUGGGUGAAACCCAGGAACCAACGUUGUACUGCCACACACCUACUGAGAGGGAGGUGGAGAAGAGAGAGAAGCCUGGUAGCUUCUUUCAGAGCACUGGACUAGGGAAUGAGGAGAGAUGGAAUCCAGUGUCAUUUCUGCCACUCCCUAGCCUGAUUUCCAUCCAUAGCUUAGCAUGGUGCCUAACAAACAGAUCUGAAUUUGCUACUCUGGCAAGUCAAGCCCUGGACGUUGAUGUUUAA